rnacentral:tRNA from 1 species
UGUCUGGUGGCUGAGUUGGAAGCGGUAGACUGUAGAUCUAUUAACGGAAUUAAGUUUCCCCGACAA